rnacentral:lncRNA from 1 species
AAACAUUUCAUUUAGGAAGUGUAAAAAUGGCAUUUUUCCAGCAGCGAACCAUUUCCGCCCAUAAUCAGCAGAUGUGAGUACAUGGAGACAACAAUUUGCAUGCAAAUGUAAGCAUAUAACUGAACAGAGGCAUGAUGCUCAUUUAUCUUGUACUACUUAUUAUGUGUGUAUAUGUCUAUAGAUAUUCUAUAUAUAAAAGCCUACUUAAAAUAAAGUACUUUACAGUGGUCUUGGUUUGUGAUAUUUGCCCUGUUGGAUUUCUUCUCAGGCCAGACAGAAAGUCCUGUUUUGAUCCUGAAAGACUGUCAAGGCAUCAAGAAGCAUUCAACAGUUUCAGUGGAGGAAGAUCAGCACUGAAGUAAUGCAGGAAUCUGUGUUUGGACUUGCCUUUUAAUAUACUCAUAAAUGACCUGGAAAAGGGGAUGCUGUGUUAUGACAAAGUUUGCUGAUGAUACAGUUAUUUAAGGUAAAACCGGUGAAGACCAGUUAUGAAAGGACCAGGAGGUCCUUACAAGACUCAGUGGAUGGAUAUGGCAGGUUAAAUUAAAUGUAAAUAAAUAUAAAACAAUGUAUGUAUGGUGUGAAUAA